GGAAAACUUUGAGUUGCAGAAAGAGGAGAGUUGGAAUUCCACGUGUAGCGGUGAAAUGCGUAGAGAUGUGGAGGAACACCAGUGGCGAAGGCGACUCUCUGGUCUGUAACUGACGCUGAGGAGCGAAAGCGUGGGGAGCGAACAGGAUUAGAUACCCUGGUAGUCCACGCCGUAAACGAUGAGUGCUAAGUGUUAGGGGGUUUCCGCCCCUUAGUGCUGCAGCUAACGCAUUAAGCACUCCGCCUGGGGAGUACGGUCGCAAGACUGAAACUCAAAGGAAUUGACGGGGGCCCGCACAAGCGGUGGAGCAUGUGGUUUAAUUCGAAGCAACGCGAAGAACCUUACCAGGUCUUGACAUCCUCUGACAACCCUAGAGAUAGGGCUUUCCCUUCGGGGACAGAGUGACAGGUGGUGCAUGGUUGUCGUCAGCUCGUGUCGUGAGAUGUUGGGUUAAGUCCCGCAACGAGCGCAACCCUUGAUCUUAGUUGCCAGCAUUCAGUUGGGCACUCUAAGGUGACUGCCGGUGACAAACCGGAGGAAGGUGGGGAUGACGUCAAAUCAUCAUGCCCCUUAUGACCUGGGCUACACACGUGCUACAAUGGACAGAACAAAGGGCUGCAAGACCGCAAGGUUUAGCCAAUCCCAUAAAUCUGUUCUCAGUUCGGAUCGCAGUCUGCAACUCGACUGCGUGAAGCUGGAAUCGCUAGUAAUCGCGGAUC
rnacentral:rRNA from 1 species